CUGCUGCCUUCCGUAGGAGUUUGGACCGUGUCUCAGUUCCAAUGUGGGAGACCUUCCUCUCAGAACCCCUACGCAUCGUCGGCUUGGUGGGCCGUUGCCCCACCAACUACCUAAUGCGCCGCAUGCCCAUCCGUGACCGGGGUCGCCCCCUUUGGCCGGCAGGGGAUGUCCCCUCCCGGCAUUAUGUUGUAUUAGGCGGGAUUUCUCCCGGUUAUCCAACUGUCACGGCCAGGUUGCAUACGUGUUACUCACCCGUGCGCCAGUCGCCGG
rnacentral:rRNA from 1 species